rnacentral:sRNA from 1 species
GUUUCUUGCUCGCCUCUUUAUGCGUUGGGCGUUCUGGUUGCUCUUUUUUAGCGCUUUGCGCGUUUUCUGUUUUGUGCUUGCUACAAAAAUCCACAAAGUGAGGCGGGUCUCAUCAUCAAAUACAGUGGAGCGCAUAGAGGCUGCCUUGUAAAGGUGGUGGAGCAUCAUAGACCAUGGAGCGGAGGAGCAUGAAACACAAAAUACUGCGAAAUUUAGGGACUCGGAUUUAGUUUUAGUGUGGCGUGUAUGCGGCCCGAAAUGAAGGAACAAGGGACAAAACGCAAGUACGCGUACCGUUCCUUGAAAUCUUUUAGUUCUUAGUCAUUUUUGAUCGUGUCGUGCUUAGAUGUGUAUCUACGUAUGGGUGCUUGAUACUUGACAUGUUGACAUGCUUGACUGUCGUACAAACUACAGGUAAUAGACAGGUAGUAUAAAGGAGUUCUGCAGUUGGGGCUUCUCUCCUUCUAAGUUCUUCUCUUUUGAUGCACAGUUUUCGG